rnacentral:rRNA from 1 species
AUGCACGCUAGCGGCAGGCCUCACACAUGCAAGUCGAGGGAUAAGCCUUCGGGCUAAGACCGGCGCACGGGUGCGUAACGCGUAUACAAUCUGCCUUUUAUCCGGGGGAUAGCCCGAAGAAAUUUGGAUUAAUACCCUAUGGUAUAAGAGCACGGCAUCGUGCACUUAUUAAAGCUACGGCGGUAAAAGAUGAGUAUGCGUUCUAUUAGCUAGUUGGAGAGGUAACGGCUCCCCAAGGCGAUGAUAGAUAGGGGUUCUGAGAGGGAUGUCCCCCACACUGGUACUGAGAUACGGACCAGACUCCUACGGGAGGCAGCAGUGAGGAAUAUUGGACAAUGGUCGGAAGACUGAUCCAGCCAUGCCGCGUGCAGGAUGACGGCCUUAUGGGUUGUAAACUGCUUUUGUAAGGGAAGAAUAAGGAGUACGUGUACUUUGAUGACGGUACCUUACGAAUAAGCAUCGGCUAACUCCGUG